CCUACGGGAGGCAGCAGUGGGGAAUAUUGGACAAUGGGGGCAACCCUGAUCCAGCCAUGCCGCGUGUGUGAAGAAGGCCCUCGGGUUGUAAAGCACUUUCAGUGAGGAAGAACGCCUGGUGGUUAAUACCCAUCAGGAAAGACAUCACUCACAGAAGAAGCACCGGCUAACUCCGUGCCAGCAGCCGCGGUAAUACGGAGGGUGCGAGCGUUAAUCGGAAUUACUGGGCGUAAAGCGCGCGUAGGUGGCUUGAUAAGCCGGUUGUGAAAGCCCCGGGCUCAACCUGGGAACGGCAUCCGGAACUGUCAAGCUAGAGUGCAGGAGAGGAAGGUAGAAUUCCCGGUGUAGCGGUGAAAUGCGUAGAGAUCGGGAGGAAUACCAGUGGCGAAGGUGGCCUUCUGGACUGACACUGACACUGAGGUGCGAAAGCGUGGGUAGCAAACAGGAUUAGAUACCCUUGUAGUC
rnacentral:rRNA from 1 species